GGAUGCGAUCAUACCAGCACUAAUGCACCGGAUCCCAUCAGAACUCCGAAGUUAAGCGUGCUUGGGCGAGAGUAGUACUAGGAUGGGUGACCCCCUGGGAAGUCCUCGUGUUGCAUACC
rnacentral:rRNA from 1 species